ensembl:lincRNA
AGGAAGGGCCCGCUGCUCCCGGGCCACCCCGGGACACAUGAGUUAGGGGCAAAAUUUAAUGCCGCAACAAAGCGACUCAUUUUUUUUGGUAACUGAGGCUGUUCCAGAACUUCUUACUCACUCUCGGCGCCGCCCCCGCGCUUCCAGGCCCCGGACCCGCCGCAAACACCGCUGGGCUUGGACUCAAACCGCGGUCCGGUCCCACCCGGUCUGGUCCAGUCCCGUUGGAGGCGGCGGUUGGGUUCAGCGUCAGGCGCGCGCCCUCUGCUGGCCGUUGGGAAGCGGCGAGGGAAGCGCUGAGCUCGCGGCCGAGCGGUGGUCGCUCGCCCCCUCGCGGGCUCUCCCGGAAUCGCUGACAUUCUCCGUCGCUUGCUCUCUGCUCCUGGCUGGGGAUGCUCCAUUUACAUGGAUUGGAAUAGACCUAAGCACCACAAUUACAAAAUCAGUUAUACGUUAAACAAAGCCUCAAAACACCAGGUAACCCAUGUUCUAAAUCACUGUUUGGGAGACAGCCAAACAGCCAUGGCUCCAAGGCGUAUCCCAGGAAAGGGAGCAGGCAAGGCUGGAGCAGAGCGUCCCCAGCCAGGAGCAGAGAGCAAGCGACGGAGAAUGUCAGCGAUUCCGGGAGAGCCCGCGAGGGGGCGAGCGACCACCGCUCGGCCGCGAGCUCAGCGCUUCCCUCGCCGCUUCCCAACGGCCAGCAGAGGGCGCGCGCCUGACGCUGAACCCAACCGCCGCCUCCAACGGGACUGGACCAGACCGGGUGGGACCGGACCGCGGUUUGAGUCCAAGCCCAGCGGUGUUUGCGGCGGGUCCGGGGCCUGGAAGCGCGGGGGCGGCGCCGAGAACGAAACUGGAAAAUGGCCUUCAUUGGAAAAGCCCCAGUCCUCGGGGAGCAGAUCCCCCAUCUCUGGCAGUGCAGUGCGCCUGGGAGCUGUCUGGAACAUUCCGCAAGUGCCGUGUUUGCCUGAAAGGACAUUGGCAGCCAGCAGGGGCGGCGGCUGGUCCUCUAGAUGGGCACGAAUGCCACUGGCAGGCAAUGGGGCAGACUCCAUGGAAAGAUGCUUCCCUUCCUCAAGCAGGCCCAGAUCAGCUCUGCACACGGUGCUGACCUCAAAUUCAGCCCUAGAGGGGCCUGUCUCUGCCCUGAGUGAGUAUUGAGGUGCAGGCUUCUUCCCCUUUGUUCUGUCCAUUUCCAAAAAUGUGAACACACACCUCCAACAUGUUUCUGUGUAUAUUAUUGUGUGCAUAGAUACUACCAUUGUAAAAUAUUAUGCAGAUUAAUAAUGCACUAUUGUAUUGAAAAUUUCAAAAGAAAUGUGUAAUAAACAUUUAAAAUUAAUAUUUUUGUUCUCAGUUGUUAAGGGAUAUAAUCAGGUUCUCUGCAAAAUACUGUGGUUUAAAAAUAACAAAGAUAAUAUGGGUAUUAAUAACAUUUCAUCAACAGGAAUGAUGGAGAAUGCUUCAGUUUUUCUGUAGGGAUUUAAUUUUUGAAUUGGGAUUUUGGGUAAGAUAUCUUUAGGAUAAAAUAUGUGCACACAAGAAAAUAGCAUAUUUUUCCUAAAAAUUUGUUUUUAUGCAUUAUUAUAUACACAUAAAAAUAGUCUUAUUUUGGCUGGGCACAGUGGCUCACGCCUGUAAUCCAAGCACUUUGGGAGGCCGAGGCAGGUAGAUCACCUGAGUUCAGGAGUUGGAGAACAGCCUGGUCAACAUGGUGAAACCCCAUCUCUAUUGAAAAUAGAAAAAACAUUAGAUGAGCAUGGGGCGGGCACCCAUAAUCCCAGCUACUUGGGAGGCUGAGGCAGGAGAAUCGCUUGAACCCGGGAGGUGGAGGUUGCAGUGAGCCAAGAUAGCACUGUUGCACUCCAGCCUGGGCAAUAAGAGCAAAAUUCCAUCUUAAAAAAAAGAAAGAAGUAGUUUUAUUUCAAAAUUAGAAGCAAAAAGAAAAUAAAUAUAUCCUGCUAUAGAGACUUGUCUUCGGAUGCUUAUGACCUCCUGUAAAUGCAGUUCCUCCCUCAUCCCCGUCUAAGUAUCCUUCCUCAGCCUCCUCAAAUUGGAGCCUGCGUCAUCAGAACCACGUGGAAGGCUCUAAAAACAUUGACAGCAUAGAGGGAGACCCUAUCUCCAAAAAACAAAACAAAAAACCCUUUAUUUUUAAUGGGAUAAAGAGUUAAAUAGUAGUUAGAUAUUCAAGUUUUGUAUGCUCCAUGAACAAACAAACAAACAAAAACACACGACACUUGAUGGAGACUGCAGGCCUGUGUUCUGUACCUGGCUUUGAGGGAGUGAUUGGAUGGGAUGGUGUGCUUCCUGUGCCUGUCCUGUCCGCUCUGGGUUUAAUUUACUCUCAGUUGGCCAUUGUUCUUUCCAUGAUCUUAUUUUCCAGGCAUUGUCCUAGGACCCAAGGUCUCUUACAUUCUUACAUGUAACAGUAAGAAUUCUUACAAUAAGAAUUGAGAGAGUAGAAGCUAUUUUUCCUGUGACUUAGAACUUUGGGGGAAGUUUAAAGGGAGAUACUGCAUGUAUUCUGUGUCAUCAUCUAAUUUCUACAGACCCUUCUUAAGGAACUGACAUUAAUGUUGUACUUAAUUCUUCAGGCAGUGUGGGCCAAAAAUAAAGCCAAAUAUACAUUUAGUCUAAAAGUACAAGUCAUAUUAUUUCCAUCAGUGGAUUCCUAUAAUCCUAUGAAUAAAAUCUUAUACAUUGGCUUAUAAGAGACCCAUUGAUUCACUAUUAAUCACUAUAUUUGUGUUCUUACUGGGCUGAAAAAAAAUUGAAAUUUAACCUGAUGUGUUUCCUGUGCUUUGAAAUCUUACUUUUUUUUCAUGGUUCUCUCGCCUAUUUCUUACCCCACUGCACACAUAGAAGAAAGAAUAUCAAUAGCGGCAGUUCUUAUCAAUCAGAAAACAGGUUAAAAGCCAUUCUGGUUCUUGGGCUAAGUCUCAGUAGCAGAGAGAAAUAGAAGAGGAAAGGUAUGGGAUAGAAGUGUAUUCACUACCACUCUCUCUGAUCAAACCUUGGAGGGGAGCAAUGGAGUCCCAGA